rnacentral:tRNA from 1 species
GUUACCGUAGCUCAAUCGGCAGAGUGCGUAUCCGGGUCAAGAGUACGUAUACGAGGCUGCGGGUUCGAAUCCCGCCGGUAACG